AGAGUUUGAUCAUGGCUCAGGACGAACGCUGGCGGCGUGCUUAACACAUGCAAGUCGAACGGAAAGGUCUCUUCGGAGACACUCGAGUGGCGAACGAGUGAGUAACACGUGGGUGAUCUGCCCUGCACUUCGGGAUAAGCCUGGGAAACUGGGUCUAAUACCGGAUAGGACCAAGAGAUGCAUGUCUUUUGGUGAAAAGCUUUUGCGGUGUGGGAUGGGCCCGCGGCCUAUCAGCUUGUUGGUGGGGUCACGGCCUACCAAGGCUCCGACGGGUAGCCGGCCUGAGAGGGUGUCCGGCCACACUGGGACUGAGAUACGGCCCAGACUCCUACGGGAGGCAGCAGUGGGGAAUAUUGCACAAUGGGCGCAAGCCUGAUGCAGCGACGCCGCGUGGGGGAUGACGGCCUUCGGGUUGUAAACCUCUUUCACCAUCGACGAAGGUCCGGGUUUUCUCGGAUUGACGGUAGGUGGAGAAGAAGCACCGGCCAACUACGUGCCAGCAGCCGCGGUAAUACGUAGGGUGCGAGCGUUGUCCGGAAUUACUGGGCGUAAAGAGCUCGUAGGUGGUUUGUCGCGUUGUUCGUGAAAACUCACGGCUUAACUGUGAGCGUGCGGGCGGUACGGGCAGACUGGAGUACUGCAGGGGAGACUGGAAUUCCUGGUGUAGCGGUGGAAUGCGCAGAUAUCAGGAGGAACACCGGUGGCGAAGGCGGGUCUCUGGGCAGUAACUGACGCUGAGGAGCGAAAGCGUGGGGAGCGAACAGGAUUAGAUACCCUGGUAGUCCACGCCGUAAACGGUGGGUACUAGGUGUGGGUUUCCUUCCUUGGGAUCCGUGCCGUAGCUAACGCAUUAAGUACCCCGCCUGGGGAGUACGGCCGCAAGGCUAAAACUCAAAGGAAUUGACGGGGGCCCGCACAAGCGGCGGAGCAUGUGGAUUAAUUCGAUGCAACGCGAAGAACCUUACCUGGGUUUGACAUGCACAGGACGCG
rnacentral:rRNA from 1 species